GUGUCAGCCGCCGUGGUAAUACGAAGGGGGCUAGCGUUGUUCGGAAUCACUGGGCGUAAAGCGCACGUAGGCGGACCAUUAAGUCAGGGGUGAAAGCCUGGAGCUCAACUCCAGAACUGCCUUUGAUACUGAUGGUCUCGAGUUCGGAAGAGGUUGGUGGAACUGCGAGUGUAGAGGUGAAAUUCGUAGAUAUUCGCAAGAACACCAGUGGCGAAGGCGGCCAACUGGUCCGAUACUGACGCUGAGGCGCGAAAGCGUGGGGAGCAAACAGGAUUAGAAACCCGAGUAGUCC
rnacentral:rRNA from 1 species